UUUAGAUUAGCACUUUACACUAUUAUAUUUUUCUAUUUCUAGAGUUUUUCACUAUUCACGGAAAUAUAUUUUUAUAUUUUUAUUGCUUGUUUCUGACUUUCUGGAAAGUUUUGUUUUAGUUAUGUAUUAUUUUUGGUGAUGGUUUUCAAUAAUUUCUUAUUAGUUUUUCUUUGCCUUAUUUUAUACCUAAGAAAAAGAAAAAUCGAUGAGUUAAACUAUUUUAAUUUUAAUUUUAAUUUUUGUUCACUUUGGUUUGAUGCAACACAAAAAAAAACAUUAUGGUAAAUUAAUUCAUCUAUUCUUUGUUGUUAUGAAUUUCUCUAAUCUUUUCUUAAAAUUUAUGUAUUCAGUGUCAUAUUAUGUAUGUUUUGGAUUUAUUAUGUAUUUUCGAUAAUUUUAUUAUUUUAUUUUUUUGUCUCUAAAACUAUUUUUUAAUUUUUAUUUUGAUUAUAUAUCAGUCAUUUAUUGAAAUUUUGUUACCUUUUAUUCAUUUUUCAAAACUUGAGUUUAGUGAUUAAAAUGGGAAAGUUAUGUCAGCUUAAAUUCAUAUAUAUUUUAGUUGUCUUGAGUUUGAUAAAAAAAUUAAAUAAUAUUAUAAUAAAUUUUCAUCUUUUUGUUUUUCUUUGUGAAAAGUAUGUAUUUUACGUAGAGGGUUAUCUGUUAAGUAAUUAACAAAUUUACAAUAACUUGCAAACUAUCUUAAACUAUGGUUAGCAAUAGUAGAGAAGAGUAUCAUAACUUUGGAAUAGCUUAACCCUGAG
rnacentral:lncRNA from 1 species